AGUGAACGCUGGCGGUAGGCCUAACACAUGCAAGUCGAACGGCAGCACAGAGGAGCUUGCUCCUUGGGUGGCGAGUGGCGGACGGGUGAGGAGUAGAUCGGAAUCUACUCUGUCGUGGGGGAUAACGUAGGGAAACUUACGCUAAUACCGCAUACGACAUACGGGUGAAAGCAGGGGAUCUUAGGACCUUGCGCGAACGAAUGAGCCCAUGUCGGAUUAGGUAGUAGGCGGGGUAAAGGCACACCAAGGCGACGAUCCGUAGCUGGUCUGAGAGGAUGAUCAGCCACACUGGAACUGAGACACGGUCCAGACUCCUACGGGAGGCAGCAGUGGGGAAUAUUGGACAAUGGGCGCAAGCCUGAUCCAGCCAUACCGCGUGGGUGAAGAAGGCCUUCGGGUUGUAAAGCCCUUUUGUUGGGAAAGAAAUCCAUCUGGUUAAUACCCGGGUGGGAUGACGGUACCCAAAGAAUAAGCACCGGCUAACUUCGUGCCAGCCGCCGCCGUAA
rnacentral:rRNA from 1 species